rnacentral:rRNA from 1 species
UACGGAGGAUGCAAGCGUUAUCCGGAAUGAUUGGGCGUAAAGCGUCCGUAGGUGGCGAUUCAAGUCUGCUGUUAAAGCGCAGGGCUUAACCCUGUAAAGGCGGUGGAAACUGGAGAGCUAGAGUGUGGUAGGGGUAGAGGGAAUUCCCGGUGUAGCGGUGAAAUGCGUAGAGAUCGGGAAGAACACCGGUGGCGAAGGCGGCUCUCUGGAACGGUACUGACGCUGAGACGCGAAAGCGUGGGGAGCGAACAGG